rfam:Triticum aestivum genome assembly, contig: Triticum_aestivum_CS42_TGACv1_scaffold_289826_4AL
CUAAUACUCCCUCCGUCCGGAAAUAAUUGUCAUCAAAAUGCUAAAAGAUGGUGUAUCUAGACGUAUUUUAGUUUUAGAUACAUCAUUUUUUAUCCAUUUUGAUGACAAGUAUUUUCGGACGGAGGGAGUACUUU